rnacentral:misc_RNA from 1 species
AGGGAUCAUUACUGAGUUAGGGAGCAAUCCCGACCUCCAACCCUUUGUGAACACAUCUCGUUGCUUUGGGGGCGACCCUGCCGUUCGCGGCACUCCCCCCGGAGAUCAUCAAAACACUGCAUUCUUACGUCGGAGUAAAAAGUUAAUUUAAUAAAACUUUCAACAACGGAUCUCUUGGUUCUG